ACCCCAUGAUAUAAGCCGGCGUUGUGAAUAUAUUUCUAGUUUACAACGUGACUAUGAUUGGGAAAAUGAAGCCUGCUCUGAUGUGUGUAUGUUGUAUAGUGAAUAUUUAUCUCACACUUGCAAACAAAGUAAAUUUCAGAGUACA